GAAAUGCGAUAAGUAGUGUGAAUUGCAGAAUUCAGUGAAUCAUCGAAUCUUUGAACGCACAUUGCGCCCCUUGGUAUUCCAUGGGGCAUGCCUGUUCGAGCGUCAUUUGUACCCUCAAGCUCUGCUUGGUGUUGGGUGUUUGUCCCCGUCUCCGCGCGUGGACUCGCCCCAAAGUGACUGGCAGCCGGCGUACUGGUCCCGGAGCGCAGCACAUGUCGCGCAAACGAGUGCCUUGGUACGGCGGCGUCCAUAAGCCCCUCUCUCACGCUCUUGACCUCGGAUCAGGUAGGGAUACCCGCUGAACUUAAGC
rnacentral:misc_RNA from 1 species